AGUGAACGCUGGCGGUAGGCCUAACACAUGCAAGUCGAACGGCAGCACAGUAAGAGCUUGCUCUUACGGGUGGCGAGUGGCGGACGGGUGAGGAAUACAUCGGAAUCUACUUUUUCGUGGGGGAUAACGUAGGGAAACUUACGCUAAUACCGCAUACGACAUACGGUUGAAAGCAGGGGAUUUUCGGACCUUGCGCGAUUGAAUGAGCCGAUGUCGGAUUAGUUAGUUGGGGGGGUAAAGGCCCACCAAGGCGACGAUCCGUAGCUGGUCUGAGAGGAUGAUCAGCCACACUGGAACUGAGACACGGUCCAGACUCCUACGGGAGGCAGCAGUGGGGAAUAUUGGACAAUGGGCGCAAGCCUGAUCCAGCCAUACCGCGUUGGUGAAGAAGGCCUUCGGGUUGUAAAGCCCUUUUGUUGGGAAAGAAAAGCAGCAGGUUAAUACCCCGCUGUUCUGACGGUACCCAAAGAAUAAGCACCGGCUAACUUCGUG
rnacentral:rRNA from 1 species